AACCAGCACCUCAAGUGGUCAGGAUGAUUAUUGGGCCUAAAGCAUCCGUAGCCUGCUCUGUAAGUUUCCGGUUAAAUCUAUGCGCACAACGUAUAGGCCGCCGAAAAUACUGCAGAACUAGGGAGUGGGAGAGGUAGACGGUACUCGGUAGGAAGGGGUAAAAUUCCUUGAUCUAUUGAUGACCACCUGUGGCGAAGGCGGUCUACCAGAACACGUUCGACGGUGAGGGAUGAAAGCUGGGGGAGCAAACCGG
rnacentral:rRNA from 1 species